rnacentral:rRNA from 1 species
AGAGUUUGAUCCUGGCUCAGGAUGAACUUUAGCGACAGGCUUAACACAUGCAAGUCGAGGGGCAGCACAGGUAGCAAUACCGGGUGGCGACCGGCGCACUGGUGAGUAACGCGUAUGCAACUUACCUAUCAGAGGGGGAUAACCCGGCGAAAGUCGGACUAAUACCGCAUGAAGCAGGGGCCCCGCAUGGGGAUAUUUGCUAAAGAUUCAUCGCUGAUAGAUAGGCAUGCGUUCCAUUAGGCAGUUGGCGGGGUAACGGCCCACCAAACCGACGAUGGAUAGGGGUUCUGAGAGGAAGGUCCCCCACAUUGGUACUGAGACACGGACCAAACUCCUACGGGAGGCAGCAGUGAGGAAUAUUGGUCAAUGGCCGAGAGGCUGAACCAGCCAAGUCGCGUGAGGGAUGAAGGUUCUAUGGAUCGUAAACCUCUUUUAUAAGGGAAUAAAGUGCGGGACGUGUCCCGUUUUGUAUGUACCUUAUGAAUAAGGAUCGGCUAACUCCGUGCCAGCAGCCGCGGUAAUACGGAGGAUCCGAGCGUUAUCCGGAUUUAUUGGGUUUAAAGGGUGCGUAGGCGGCCUUUUAAGUCAGCGGUGAAAGUCUGUGGCUCAACCAUAGAAUUGCCGUUGAAACUGGGGGGCUUGAGUAUGUUUGAGGCAGGCGGAAUGCGUGGUGUAGCGGUGAAAUGCAUAGAUAUCACGCAGAACCCCGAUUGCGAAGGCAGCCUGCCAAGCCAUGACUGACGCUGAUGCACGAAAGCGUGGGGAUCAAACAGGAUUAGAUACCCUGGUAGUCCACGCAGUAAACGAUGAUCACUAGCUGUUUGCGAUACACUGUAAGCGGCACAGCGAAAGCGUUAAGUGAUCCACCUGGGGAGUACGCCGGCAACGGUGAAACUCAAAGGAAUUGACGGGGGCCCGCACAAGCGGAGGAACAUGUGGUUUAAUUCGAUGAUACGCGAGGAACCUUACCCGGGUUUGAACGCAUUCGGACCGAGGUGGAAACACCUUUUCUAGCAAUAGCCGUUUGCGAGGUGCUGCAUGGUUGUUGUCAGCUCGUGCCGUGAGGUGUCGGCUUAAGUGCCAUAACGAGCGCAACCCUUGCCACUAGUUACUAACAGGUAAAGCUGAGGACUCUGGUGGGACUGCCAGCGUAAGCUGCGAGGAAGGCGGGGAUGACGUCAAAUCAGCACGGCCCUUACAUCCGGGGCGACACACGUGUUACAAUGGCGUGGACAAAGGGAGGCCACCUGGUGACAGGGAGCGAAUCCCCAAACCACGUCUCAGUUCGGAUCGGAGUCUGCAACCCGACUCCGUGAAGCUGGAUUCGCUAGUAAUCGCGCAUCAGCCAUGGCGCGGUGAAUACGUUCCCGGGCCUUGCACUCACCGCCCGUCA